rnacentral:tRNA from 1 species
GUGCUUGUGGUGUAGUGGUUAUCACAUCCGCUUAACACCCGGAAGGCCCCAGGUUCGAUCCCUGGCAGGCACA